GCCCCUGCUCAGCGCCAGCAUGGAACGGUUACCCCCGCGUCGCCCUCCGGGGGCGAGAGCGCAGGUUCGAAUCCUGCCGGGGGCA
rnacentral:tRNA from 1 species